rnacentral:lncRNA from 1 species
CGAGGCUAUGGUGAAGGUGCAAUUGGCGUUGGACAAUCGUGUCUGGUAACCACAAGUGAAUUGUCAAUCCCAUUGGUAUAAUAUUCAUUACUCUGCUCUGUAUUUUUCAUUUUUCUUCCGUGCACACACUCUAAUGAAAACUUUUUGCUCCAAGUUUUACUUUAAGUGACAACAAGCAUGACUUUCAUUAUGACGCUAGAAAGUCAGAUAAUCAACAACCAUCUUUUUUCUCGGUACUUAGAUCCUUUUGGCUAUUAGCAAUUGUCAUAUGUUUUUUUGUCAGCAAGAAAUUUUAUACUAAAGAAACACUUAAGUGCUCUGACCAUUGUACACAUAAAACUAUGGAUAAGGAAAAUUACAUUAUAUUCCAUAACCUACUUUUCUAACCAAAAUAGAUGUACUGGGAUCAUCAACAACCAAAUAAAAUUCUCUCAAUACUCAUAAUAAUGUAACCCAGUCUUACCCUACAAAACAUCUAAGCAUAUUUUAAUUAAACAUCUUAACUCUAUUGACCGUCUAUAGUCAUUUGUGUUCAUACUUGAUCACCCAUAGUUUGAAUAUGUUGUAUUUGAUCUCUUUUUUUCCAUCAUUUAUGUCCAUACUUGAUUACCAAACUAGUUUGAAUAUGUUGUAAUUGAUCUUUUUUUUUCCACGGUUUAGAUUCCUUUUGUGAUAAAUUAUUGUAUAAAACUAACACUAUUAUAUGAUACUCCAUUGUGUCACCUUACUUCUGCAAUUUUCUCCUACUCUCAUUGCUGUAGUCCCUAUUCGUUUUGCUAAAAGUCUACAGUUUGAUCUUGGGCAACUGAGUGUCACUGUGCCACCUUACUUCUACAAUUUUUUCCUACUCUGAAUGUUGUAGUCCCUAUUCAUUGUGCUAGAAGCCUGCAGUUUGAUCUUGGACGAUUGUAGCUGAGUGUCAUGUUGGAUAUGAUUUUUGCUUGUUUCUAGGGAUAUUUCUCUUAAUUCUUUCACGUACUACAUCAACAGAACUGGCUUCCCUUCUGUGUAGUUGUCUGCAGAUUAUUAAUUCCUCUGCAUCCCUACACAAUUUUGGUUAAGAGUUCUGUUCUACACUAUUUGUCUUUUCAGAUUAGAUACACAUUGACAACAAUAGACCUGGGCUGACUGCUAUCAAAAUUACCGAAGUAUCCCAAAUUCAAGAAAAAUAUGGUUUAUGCAUCAUUGCCAUUCCAGAAUUCAUCAUUGCCAUUCCAGAAUGGAUAAGUAAAUAUAUGAUGAUGCAGAUAUCAUAACCAAGAGAAACCUAUUCAAACAUUUCAACUAGCCUACCUCAGAUACAUGUUCCCACCAUUAGUGUCCUUGCACAGUCCGUGAUCUCCCUCUUUGAUUUUAACUUCAAAGAUCUACAUAAAUGCCAAUCUGAAUACAAGAAAAAGCCUGUUUUUGGAUAUUUAUAUCUGAUCCAAGCUCAUACUUUGAUCUGAGUCAUACAAAAUAUCUCUUCGGUAUCAACCCUGCCAUUCCUACAUUCCUAAAUACAACUUUAUUCUUAUGAUUCCACACAUUCCAAAUAACACACACCCCUUCAAACUCUAUUACCAAUCUUAUUAAGUUACUUUAGAAAAAAUUGUUGGAAGUUAUCUUUAGGUUGAUUAUGUGUCACACAUAUUCUACACCUUUCUAACUAGCUUACAGCAAAAGAACAGAUGGCAGUUUCCUCCUCCUCUACAUAGGGCACAUAAGGUUACAUCUAUUCUCCUUCUUCACAUAUUUACCCUUGUUGUCACCCUCUUUAAAAUUACUCUCCGUGCAAAAUAUUGUGCUGAUGUUAUGACCUUAAUACUUCAAAACAAAUUAAAGAAAUCAGAAUCUUCUCUAGAUACUGAUUGAACUUGCCAUAAAUAUCCACCGUGACUCAUUUAUAAGCAUUUCUACCAAUUAUUGUUUUGCUGAUCACCUUUUUUACUCUAUUUGCAGAGCAAGAAACUAACAGGU